rnacentral:piRNA from 1 species
UGGUCAAUAAAGCAGUGCUCACUUGGCC